rnacentral:rRNA from 1 species
AUUGAACGCUGGCGGCAGGCCUAACACAUGCAAGUCGAACGAGUGGCGGACGGGUGAGUAAUGUCUGGGAAACUGCCCGAUGGAGGGGGAUAACUCCUGGAAACGGUACCUAAUACCGCAUACCAUCGGAUGUUCCCAGCUGGGAUUAGCUAGUCGGUGGGGUAACGUCUCACCUAGGCGACGAUCCCUAGCUGUUCUGAGAGGAUUACCAGCCACACUGGAACUGAGACACGGGCCAGACUCCUACGGGAGGCAGCAGUGGGGAAUAUUGCACAAUGGGCGCAAGCCUGAUGCAGCCAUGCCGCGUGUAUGAAGAAGGCCUUCGGGUUGUAAAGUACUUUCAGCGAGGAGGCGUUACUCGCAGAAGAAGAACCGGCUAACUCCGUGCCAGCCGCCGCGGUAAUAC